UUUUUUAGAGAGAAAACAUUCAUGUUUCUGCCUUGCUUUGAUUUCAAAUGGAGCCCUUUUUUCUUUCUCUUUAGACCCCAGCAUUGCGGUCUUUCUGCCUGAAACAACUUUCUACACAUUGAAUCCCUCUCUGCUAGAGGGUAAUGAUGGGAUGAUAUGGAGGAAGAGGGAGCAGAUGGAGUUGGAGACAUUGAG
rnacentral:lncRNA from 1 species